CCCUUAGAUGUCCUGGGCCGCACGCGCGUUACACUGAUGCAUUCAACGAGCUUAUAACCUUGGCCGAGAGGCCUGGGCAAUCUUGUUAACGUGCAUCGUGAUAGGGAUAGAUUAUUGAAAUUAUUCAUCUUGAACGAGGAAUUCCUAGUAAACGCAGAUCAUCAAUCUGCAUUGAUUACGUCCCUGCCCUUUGUACACACCGCCCGUCGCACCUACCGAUUGGAUGGUCCGGUGAAGCCUCGGGAUUGUGGUUCUUGCCGCUUUAUUGUGGCGUGACCGCGAGAACUUGUCUAAACCUUAUCAUCUAGAGGAAGGUGAAGUCGUAACA
rnacentral:rRNA from 1 species